rnacentral:rRNA from 1 species
UGGAUUAGGCAUGCAAGUCGUACGAACCUUCGGGUUAGUGGCGAACGGGUGAGUAACACGUGGGUAACCUGCCUCGUAGUGGGGAAUAACUCGCCGAAAGGCGAGCUAAUACCGCAUAACACCCCCGGUGAGAAUCCGGGUGGUAAAAGCUCCGGCGCUACGAGAGGGGCCCGCGGCCGAUUAGCUAGUUGGUGGGGUAAUGGCCUACCAAGGCGACGAUCGGUAGCUGGUCUGAGAGGAUGGUCAGCCACACGGGGACUGAGAUACGGCCCCGACUCCUACGGGAGGCAGCAGCUAAGAAUCUUGCGCAAUGGGCGAAAGCCUGACGCAGCAAUUCCGCGUGGGGGACGAAGGCCCUCGGGUCGUAAACCCCUUUUGCGAGGGAAGAAGUUCUGACGGUACCUCGCGAAUAAGACACGGCUAACUACGUGCCAGCAGCCGCGGUA